GACAAGGCCUACUAUAGAGAGCUUCAAAUAUAGCAAUAUUGAUACUAAAGUGAUAGCCAUUGUUGUAGAUAAACUCGUAGAUGGGGAGAUAGUGAUCCUAACUGUCACCAAAAUCUAGUACACACACAUAACAUGUUCUCCAGCAUCUGAAUGACUUAUUCAAACUGCCCACCAAUUUGGGAAUGAUAAGUAGUAUUGAGGUACAAGAUGGAG
rnacentral:lncRNA from 1 species